rnacentral:rRNA from 1 species
UACGUAGGGGGCAAGCGUUGUCCGGAUUUAUUGGGCGUAAAGAGCGUGUAGGCGGCUGGGUAGGUCCGUUGUGAAAACUCGAGGCUCAACCUCGAGACGCCGAUGGAAACCCCCCAGCUAGAGUCCGGAAGAGGAGAGUGGAAUUCCUGGUGUAGCGGUGAAAUGCGUAGAUAUCAGGAGGAACACCCAUGGCGAAGGCAGCUUCCUGGCCCAAUUCUGACGCUGAGGUGCGAAAGCGUGGGUAGCGAACGGG